CCCAGGAAGUUUAGGCUGCAGUGAGCCCUGAUCGUGCCACUGCACUCCAGCCUGGGUGCCAGACAGAGGACAGAGUAAGACCCCGUCUUAAAAAAAAAAAACAAAAAAAAAAAAACAAAGGAAAAAGGAAAAAGAACCAUGGCUAAAGAAAUUAAAAUAUUCAAAGGAGAACUUUUGCAAAAGUAACUGAAAAUCUUCAAGGAAUGUAUUUUUUAAACAGGUAAAUAAGUUACCCAAACAUAUUCAACAGGAAAGAGAACUUUAAUAACAUCGGAAAAAUCUGAAGCAGUUAUCAAAGAUCUUAAAAAGCCACAGGUCUUUAUGCUUUCAGAAGCAAAUAAUUUUGCAUUUCAAGGAACUGAUAGACUCAAUAUAUCAUAAAUAUCCUCUCUGGGGGAGUUUU
rnacentral:lncRNA from 1 species